rnacentral:rRNA from 1 species
GGACAAUGGGCGCAAGCCUGAUCCAGCCAUACCGCGUGGGUGAAGAAGGCCUUCGGGUUGUAAAGCCCUUUUGUUGGGAAAGAAAUCCAGCUGGCUAAUACCCGGUUGGGAUGACGGUACCCAAAGAAUAAGCACCGGCUAACUUCGUGCCAGCAGCCGCGGUAAUACGAAGGGUGCAAGCGUUACUCGGAAUUACUGGGCGUAAAGCGUGCGUAGGUGGUCGUUUAAGUCCGUUGUGAAAGCCCUGGGCUCAACCUGGGAACUGCAGUGGAUACUGGGCGACUAGAGUGUGGUAGAGGGUAGCGGAAUUCCUGGUGUAGCAGUGAAAUGCGUAGAGAUCAGGAGGAACAUCCAUGGCGAAGGCAGCUACCUGGACCAACACUGACACUGAGGCACGAAAGCGUGGGGAGCAAACAGGAUUAGAUACCCUGGUAGUCCACGCCCUAAACGAUGCGAACUGGAUGUUGGGUGCAAUUUGGCACGCAGUAUCGAAGCUAACGCGUUAAGU